rnacentral:rRNA from 1 species
AGUGAACGCUGGCGGCGUGCUUAACACAUGCAAGUCGAACGAGAACGGAAUAUAGCUUGCUAUAUUUGUCAGCUAAGUGGCGCACGGGUGAGUAAUGUAUAGAUAACCUGCCCUUAAGAAAGGAAUAACAGUUGGAAACGACUGCUAAUGCCCUAUAUGCCUUUAAUACAUAAGUAUGCAAGGGAAGCGCUUUAGUGCUUAAGGAUGGGUCUGUAUGGUAUCAGCUUGUUGGUGAGGUAUGGCUCACCAAGGCUAUGACGCCUAACUGGUUUGAGAGGAUGAUCAGUCACACUGGAACUGAGACACGGUCCAGACUCCUACGGGAGGCAGCAGUGGGGAAUAUUGCACAAUGGACGAAAGUCUGAUGCAGCAACGCCGCGUGGAGGACGACACAUUUCGGUGCGUAAACUCCUUUUAUAUAGGAAGAUAAUGACGGUACUAUAUGAAUAAGCACCGGCUAACUCCGUGCCAGCCGCCGCGGUAA